rnacentral:rRNA from 1 species
GAUGAACGCUGGCGGCGUGCCUAACACAUGCAAGUCGAACGGAAAGGCCCUGCUUUUGUGGGGUGCUCGAGUGGCGAACGGGUGAGUAACACGUGAGUAACCUGCCCUUGACUUUGGGAUAACUUCAGGAAACUGGGGCUAAUACCGGAUAGGAGCUCCUGUAGCAUGGUGGGGGUUGGAAAGUUUCGGCGGUUGGGGAUGGACUCGCGGCUUAUCAGCUUGUUGGUGGGGUAGUGGCUUACCAAGGCUUUGGAGGGUAGCCGGCCUGGGAGGGUGAGCGGCCACAUUGGGACUGAGAUACGGCCCAGGCUCCUACGGGAGGCAGCGGUGGGGAAUAUUGCACAAUGGGCGGAAGCCUGAUGCAGCAGCGCCGCGUGCGGGAUAACGGCCUUCGGGUUGUAAACCACUUUCGCCUGUGACGAAGCGUGAGUGACGGUAAUGGAUAAAGAAGCACCGGCUAACUACGUG